UGGGGGAUAUUGCACAAUGGGCGAAAGCCUGAUGCAGCGACGCCGCGUGGGGGAUGAAGGCUUUCGGGUUGUAAACCUCUUUCGCUAUCGAACAAGGCCCGCUUAGGGUGGGUUGAGGGUAGGUGGAGAAGAAGCGCCGGCUAACUACGUGCCAGCAGCCGCGGUAAUACGUAGGGCGCGAGCGUUGUCCGGAAUUAUUGGGCGUAAAGGGCUUGUAGGCGGCUUGUUGCGCCUGCUGUGAAAACGCGGGGCUUAACUUCGCGCGUGCAGUGGGUACGGGCAGGCUUGAGUGUGGUAGGGGUGACUGGAAUUCCAGGUGUAGCAGUGGAAUGCGCAGAUAUCUGGAGGAACACCGAUGGCGAAGGCAGGUCACUGGGCCAUUACUGACGCUGAGGAGCGAAAGCAUGGGUAGCGAACAGG
rnacentral:rRNA from 2 species